CUGCAUAAACCAUAGGCAAAGUACUGCCACAACCCAAUAAGUUGGUCUAACAAUCACAUAAUUAGUAUUAGUAUGGAGAGAAUAUUGUGAAGGGUUAAUUAUCUUUGCCGUCCUUAAACUUUUUAAUGUUUUUUAUUUUGAUGUCUGAACGAAAAAAAUUUCUAAUUGAAUGUCUGAAUUAUUCAAAAGUAGCAAUCAAGUGCAUUUGGUGGGAUUAGUUUAUGGGAAAAUUAAAAUAAACCAUCUUAUUACUUAAUAA
rnacentral:lncRNA from 1 species